rnacentral:rRNA from 1 species
AUUGAACGCUGGCGGCAGGCUUAACACAUCAGCGAUUGGGUGGUGUCGGACGGGUGAGUAACGCUUAAAGAACUUGCCUCACAGCUAGGGACAACAUUUAGAAAUGAAUGCUAAUACCUAAUACUGUGAGAAAGCUUUGCGUCCCAUUAGCUAGUUGGAGAGGUAACAGCUCACCAAGGCGAGGAUGGGUAGCCGGCCUGAGAGGGUGAACGGCCAAAAGGGGAAUGGGACACGGCCCUUACUCAUACGGGAGGAAGGAGUGGGGACUAGUGGACAAUGGACCGAAGUCUGAUACAGCAAUUCGGUGUGAAAGAUGAAUUUUUCGGAAUGUAAAGUGUUUUCAGUUUGGAAGCGGUACCAACAGAAGAAGCGACGGCUAACUACGUGCCAGCAGCCGCGGUAAUAC